AUGUGGAUCCUUCAGCUAGAAGUCCACAGUGCAGCCUCCUCCAAAGUCAUUCACCCAGCAAGCCAAUGUAGGAUCCAGGGAAAAAGUCUUCCAAAGCCCAGGAAAGGAAUCUCAGCCACUCUCUCCAAACUCCAGAAAAGGAAUGAUCCCUUAGACCAUGUUGGUCUCUUUUUAUAUCCCCUUUUCCAUGUUACUUCCUGUCUCUCCUCCUCUUCACAGAAACCAAUUUCAGCCUUUCAAUUUGCCCAGCACUGCCCAAGGUGGGAGACAGUGGCCUUUGGAGGUGUGAGCUUACUCUAUGCACUGAGCCUUAUAGGCCAAGAGCUAUCCUGUCAGCUGCUUAAGGACUUUUGAGGAAUGAAGAGACUGGAAGACAUGGGAUGGAAGUCAUUAAUCUACCAGAGUCAAACCAGAAACUCAGAAAUAUUUCUCUGCUUCAGUUACUAUGUGGGUACAUCAGGUAUGGUCAUAUUAUGUACACAGCCUGCCCCAAAGGGUAGAAAUACAGAGUUGGCAUGAAAAGGACAUAGUCAGCUACUUUUGUACCAUGAGUGAGAUCCAAGAACCACGUUAGAAGCUCAGUGAGCUCCUAGAUACCAGCUGACUCUAAUCUAAGGACAGAGAGGCACCCAGACACCAAGCCACAACACAGGACUUUGUAAACAAUGUUUCAUGCUUCACAACUCUAUUUGUACCCAUUAUCAUCUGUUUCCAAUGUAUGACUAAGUUUGAGACUUGCCAUGACCUGAGAAUUUCUGACAGAUGUCACUAGAAUGGUGCCUCUGUGGGUAGAUGGAAUUUAUUCAAAUUCUGACCCUUGUAAGAUACUUCUCCCUUGUAGUACUCUAGUGGCAGACCCUCAGACUUUUGUGUCUUAGCUGGUCAGGGUCAACUGGGUCCCAGAUUAACCUAAUGGAACCUGUGAUUGAGAAUAUGGAUCAGAUGGUCACUAAUAGGAACAACUACUGAAGAAAAGAGCACUUUGCAAAUUAUAUCCUCUCUACUUUCCUCUCUCUCUUCUUCCCACAGAGCAUCUAGCCUCAGCUCAACUUUUCUCUAUUAGAGAGAUAUAAAGUUUGGGGGUAGGGUGGGAAGAAUAGACUCUCUGCCAUCUUCUGGACUGCAUUAAGAUAACAGACCCAUUUACCCUGCUUUAGGUACACUACUCUUUUGGGGGCUAAAUUCUUGAGCCCAAUUAGAUCAUUUGGGUUUCUUUGCUAAUGAUUGUAUGCAAAUGACAUGAAUAUUAGAGAAUAAUAAAACAUAGUGGGGAGGGUAGUGGAAAGAGAGG
rnacentral:lncRNA from 1 species